GUAGAAGCCGGCUUGCUGGCGACGGGCCUUGAGCCUUGUGUUGUGCUUAGUGCCACCUUCGCCAGCAAGCCGGCUCCUAC
rnacentral:misc_RNA from 1 species